GUCUGUAUAUUGAUGAGGAUGUUCACUGGUCCGAGACAAUCGCUUCCUGAGCGACAUGAAUCACCGGAUGCGAGAAUCCUGGAGUCGUGGAAACAUACUGAGGACUGUUGAGUCCCGUUUCGCAAUCUGGCGGUGUGACGGACAGGCGUGGGUUUGGCGAAUGCGAGGAGAACGUUACCUGCCUGACUGCAUUGUGUCAUUUUUUUUUUGCUGCGAGAGAGGUUCACGAUGCAGCUUUGUUUUUCUUCAGGUUAGCUUAGGCCAAGGGUGUCAAACUCAAUCGCACAAAGGGACAAAACUCCAAGCGCACUUUUAGGUGAAGUGGCCAUGACAUCUGGGGUCUCACCGUGCAGGAACUUGUGUACUGUGCACCCUGGCCCAAGCAGAAACGCCACGCAACCGAGACGAGAGACGCCACCGCACGACCCAAACAAAACAACGGCAUCGCUCUCGGCAACCCCAUCCAAGCAAGCGCAGACCCCCUGGCUUCACUUCAAGUUCAUCAGCAAAUGGACCAUGGUUCAAAUUGACUCUAUUCUAUAAGAUGGACUACGGGUGUCUGAAGGGUGUGGCCCUUUUCUUCGGACGGGGCCAGAGGUGGGGCAGCCAGUGCUCGGCCUGACUGAAGCGAGCGUACGACAGCACAAAGGUUCACGUGGUGGUUCUUCUUCUUGGUUUCUGACUUGGUCACACCAUGGCCAAAAGCGCUGGAAUAGCGACGCUACUGGCACGGAAUGCAUUGUGCUACUCGAAGAUGACGUACACACUGCACGGUGAUAUCAUACCUAAUGUACAUUAUUUUAUUUUUUCAUGUAUUCUUCACAUCACCGCAACAAAACGCGACUCUAAUGUGAAUGGAACUUGUCUGCGAGGUGGCUCGCGUGCACACAAAGCACGACGUUGAGUGACAUGCACAAAAGAAGAUGACGUCAAGCGGCGGCGU